UGGCGCACGGGUGAGUAAGACGUAGGUGACCUGCCCUGAAGCGGGGGAUAACAGUUGGAAACGACUGCUAAUACCGCAUAUUGCCGAGUUGCUGGGAAGCGAUUUGGUGAAAACUCUGGUGCUUCAGGAGGGGCCUGCGGCCGAUUAGCUAGUUGGCGGGGUAAGAGCCCACCAAGGCGACGAUCGGUAGCUGGUCUGAGAGGACGAUCAGCCACACGGGAACUGAGACACGGUCCCGACUCCUACGGGGGGCAGCAGUGAGGAAUAUUGGGCAAUGGGCGCAAGCCUGACCCAGCAACGCCGCGUGGAGGAAGACGGCCUUCGGGUUGUAAACUCCUUUUACGGGGGAAGAGGAAGGACGGUACCCCGAGAAUAAGUCACGGCUAACUACGUGCCAGCAGCCGCGGUAAUACGUAGGUGACAAGCGUUAUCCGGAAUUACUGGGCGUAAAGCGCACGCAGGCGGCGCAUUAAGUCUGACGUGAAAUCUCCUGGCUUAACUGGGAGGGGUCGUUGGAGACUGAUGUGCUUGAGGCGAUGAGAGGGGUGUAGAAUUCCCGGUGUAGUGGUGGAAUGCGUAGAUAUCGGGAGGAAUACCAGUGGCGAAAGCGACACCCUGGCAUUAGCCUGACGCUCAUGUGCGAAGGCGUGGGGAGCGAACGGGAUUAGAUACCCCGGUAGUCCACGCGGUAAACGAUGAAUACUAGGUGUGGGUGGAGUGAAAUCCAU
rnacentral:rRNA from 1 species